rnacentral:rRNA from 1 species
CAGUAGCCGCGGUAACACGAAGGGGGCUAGCGUUGCUCGGAAUUACUGGGCGUAAAGGGAGCGUAGGCGGACAUUUAAGUCAGGGGUGAAAUCCCGGGGCUCAACCUUGGAAUUGCCUUUGAUACUGGGUGUCUUGAGUAUGAGAGAGGUGUGUGGAACUCCGAGUGUAGAGGUGAAAUUCGUAGAUAUUCGGAAGAACACCAGUGGCGAAGGCGACACACUGGCUCAUUACUGACGCUGAGGCUCGAAAGCGUGGGGAGCAAACAGGAUUAGAUACCCGAGUAGUCCCUGUCUCUUAUAC